rnacentral:rRNA from 1 species
GGUUAAGCGACUAAGCGUACACGGUGGAUGCCCGGCAGUCAGAGGCGAUGAAGGACGUGCUAAUCUGCGAUAAGCGUCGGUAAGGUGAUAUGAACCGUUAUAACCGGCGAUUUCCGAAUGGGGAAACCCAGUGUGUUUCGACACACUAUCAUUAACUGAAUCCAUAGGUUAAUGAGGCGAACCGGGGGAACUGAAACAUCUAAGUACCCCGAGGAAAAGAAAUCAACCGAGAUUCCCCCAGUAGCGGCGAGCGAACGGGGAGCAGCCCAGAGCCUGAAUCAGUGUGUGUGUUAGUGGAAGCGUCUGGAAAGGCGCGCGAUACAGGGUGACAGCCCCGUACACAAAAAUGCACAUGCUGUGAGCUCGAUGAGUAGGGCGGGACACGUGGUAUCCUGUCUGAAUAUGGGGGACCAUCCUCCAAGGCUAAAUACUCCUGACUGACCGAUAGUGAACCAGUACCGUGAGGGAAAGGCGAAAAGAACCCCGGCGAGGGGAGUGAAAAAGAACCUGAAACCGUGUACGUACAAGCAGUGGGAGCACGCUUAGGCGUGUGACUGCGUACCUUUUGUAUAAUGGGUCAGCGACUUAUAUUCUGUAGCAAGGUUAACCGAAUAGGGGAGCCGAAGGGAAACCGAGUCUUAACUGGGCGUUAAGUUGCAGGGUAUAGACCCGAAACCCGGUGAUCUCAGCCAUGGGCAGGUUGAAGGUUGGGUAACACUAACUGGAGGACCGAACCGACUAAUGUUGAAAAAUUAGCGGAUGACUUGUGGCUGGGGGUGAAAGGCCAAUCAAACCGGGAGAUAGCUGGUUCUCCCCGAAAGCUAUUUAGGUAGCGCCUCGUGAAUUCAUCUCCGGGGGUAGAGCACUGUUUCGGCAAGGGGGUCAUCCCGACUUACCAACCCGAUGCAAACUGCGAAUACCGGAGAAUGUUAUCACGGGAGACACACGGCGGGUGCUAACGUCCGUCGUGAAGAGGGAAACAACCCAGACCGCCAGCUAAGGUCCCAAAGUCAUGGUUAAGUGGGAAACGAUGUGGGAAGGCCCAGACAGCCAGGAUGUUGGCUUAGAAGCAGCCAUCAUUUAAAGAAAGCGUAAUAGCUCACUGGUCGAGUCGGCCUGCGCGGAAGAUGUAACGGGGCUAAACCAUGCACCGAAGCUGCGGCAGCGACACUAUGCGUUGUUGGGUAGGGGAGCGUUCUGUAAGCCUGUGAAGGUGUGCUGUGAGGCAUGCUGGAGGUAUCAGAAGUGCGAAUGCUGACAUAAGUAACGAUAAAGCGGGUGAAAAGCCCGCUCGCCGGAAGACCAAGGGUUCCUGUCCAACGUUAAUCGGGGCAGGGUGAGUCGACCCCUAAGGCGAGGCCGAAAGGCGUAGUCGAUGGGAAACAGGUUAAUAUUCCUGUACUUGGUGUUACCGCGAAGGGGGACGGAGAAGGCUAUGUUGGCCGGGCGACGGUUGUCCCGGUUUAAGCGUGUAGGCUGGUUUUCCGUGCAAAUCCGGAAAAUCAAGGCUGAGGCGUGAUGACGAGGCACUACGGUGCUGAAGCAACAAAUGCCCUGCUUCCAGGAAAGCCUCUAAGCAUCAGGUAACAUCAAAUCGUACCCCAAACCGACACAGGUGGUCAGGUAGAGAAUACCAAGGCGCUUGAGAGAACUCGGGUGAAGGAACUAGGCAAAAUGGUGCCGUAACUUCGGGAGAAGGCACGCUGAUAUGUAGGUGAAGUCCCUUGCGGAUGGAGCUGAAAUCAGUCGAAGAUACCAGCUGGCUGCAACUGUUUAUUAAAAACACAGCACUGUGCAAACACGAAAGUGGACGUAUACGGUGUGACGCCUGCCCGGUGCCGGAAGGUUAAUUGAUGGGGUCAGCGCAAGCGAAGCUCUUGAUCGAAGCCCCGGUAAACGGCGGCCGUAACUAUAACGGUCCUAAGGUAGCGAAAUUCCUUGUCGGGUAAGUUCCGACCUGCACGAAUGGCGUAAUGAUGGCCAGGCUGUCUCCACCCGAGACUCAGUGAAAUUGAACUCGCUGUGAAGAUGCAGUGUACCCGCGGCAAGACGGAAAGACCCCGUGAACCUUUACUAUAGCUUGACACUGAACAUUGAGCCUUGAUGUGUAGGAUAGGUGGGAGGCUUGGAAGUGUGGACGCCAGUCUGCAUGGAGCCGACCUUGAAAUACCACCCUUUAAUGUUUGAUGUUCUAACGUUGACCCGUAAUCCGGGUUGCGGACAGUGUCUGGUGGGUAGUUUGACUGGGGCGGUCUCCUCCUAAAGAGUAACGGAGGAGCACGAAGGUUGGCUAAUCCUGGUCGGACAUCAGGAGGUUAGUGCAAUGGCAUAAGCCAGCUUGACUGCGAGCGUGACGGCGCGAGCAGGUGCGAAAGCAGGUCAUAGUGAUCCGGUGGUUCUGAAUGGAAGGGCCAUCGCUCAACGGAUAAAAGGUACUCCGGGGAUAACAGGCUGAUACCGCCCAAGAGUUCAUAUCGACGGCGGUGUUUGGCACCUCGAUGUCGGCUCAUCACAUCCUGGGGCUGGAAGUAGGUCCCAAGGGUAUGGCUGUUCGCCAUUUAAAGUGGUACGCGAGCUGGGUUUAGAACGUCGUGAGACAGUUCGGUCCCUAUCUGCCGUGGGCGCUGGAGAACUGAGGGGGCUGCUCCUAGUACGAGAGGACCGGAGUGGACGCAUCACUGGUGUUCGGGUUGUCAUGCCAAUGGCACUGCCCGGUAGCUAAAUGCGGAAGAGAUAAGUGCUGAAAGCAUCUAAGCACGAAACUUGCCCCGAGAUGAGUUCUCCUGACUCCUUGAGAGUCCUGAAGGAACGUUGAAGACGACGACGUUGAUAGGCCGGGUGUGUAAGCGCAGCGAUGCGUUGAGCUAACCGGUACUAAUGAACCGUGAGGCUUAACCUU